UAGUGGCGCACGGGUGCGUAACGCGUGGGAAUCUGCCCUUCGGUUCGGAAUAACAGUUAGAAAUGACUGCUAAUACCGGAUAAUGACGUAAGUCCAAAGAUUUAUCGCCGAAGGAUGAGCCCGCGUAGGAUUAGCUAGUUGGUGAGGUAAAAGCUCACCAAGGCGACGAUCCUUAGCUGGUCUGAGAGGAUGAUCAGCCACACUGGGACUGAGACACGGCCCAG
rnacentral:rRNA from 1 species